AGGAGGAGAGACAACUCUUUGAAAGGGUAGAUGACAGCAGGGAAAUGGUUUUAAGUUGAAGGAGGGAAGAUUUAGGUUGGAAGAUUUAGAUUGGGCCCCUCACUGUAAGAAAGAUAUCAAGGCCCUGGAGCUUUUUCAAAGAAGGGCAACAAAGCUGGUGAGGGGUCUGGAGCACAGGCCUUAUGAGGAGUGGCUGAAGGAGUUGGGAUUGUUCAGUCUAGAGAAGAGGAGGCUCAGGGGAGACCUUAUUGCUCUCUAUAACUACCUGAAGGGAGGUUGUAGUGAGCUGGGGGUCAGCCUCUUCUCUCGUGUGGUAGGACUAGUGAUAGGACUAGAGGGAAUGGCUUCAAGCUGCACCAGGGAAGGUUCAGGCUGGAUGUUAGGAAAUACUACUUCUCUGAAAGGGUGGUCAGGCACUGGAAUGGGCUGCCCAGAGAGGUGGUGGAGUCACCGAGCCUGGUGGUGUUCAAAGAACAUUUGAAUGUUGUGCUGAGGGACAUGAUUUAGCGAGAACCAUUGGUGAAAGGCGAAUGGUUGGACUGGAUGAUCUUGUGGGUCUUUUCCAACCUUAGAGAUUCUAUGAUUCUAUAAUCUUUUCUAUCAAGUUGUUAUCAGCAAAGGUUUCACCAACUCAGAUUUUUGUAGUCAUUUCCUGUGGUUACUAAUAUUAUCUUUAAAUACUAACCUCUGCACACUGAUUGUUCCCUAUUUAUUUCAACUUCUGUUUUUUACUACUACGUUCUUGCCACAAGUUACUGAAAUAUUCUAGUAUUGUGAAAACUAUUCUCUUCUUCAUAUAUGAACCACAAAGUCUGCAUAUUUCUAGAGAAAUGUGGAUAAAAUAAAAUUAGCAUAAAAAGCUCCAGGCAAUAUUAUUUGCAGUCUGCAAUACUCAG
ensembl:lncRNA